rnacentral:lncRNA from 1 species
UGCAAAUACCAUGCUCUACCAACUGAGCUACAGGGACCGUGGAUCAGUGUGUUACUUUCACCAUGUGGUCUACAAUGGCACCCAGAGAGCCAUUUUAAAGCAGCAUAGCCUCGUUCCAGACAGACACCAGGAAUAGUCUUGGCCUGUAUCCGAAAUAGCACCUUAUUCCCUAUACAGUGCACUACUUUUGACCAGAGCGCUGUUCAAAAGUGGGCCCUGGUCAAAAGUAGUGCACUGUAUAGGCAACAGGGUACCAUUGGAGGCACAGCCAUAGGCCUACGGUAGGCUCUGCUCCAGGGAACAGCCACUUGCAUAACCUGCAGCUCAAUACCUAUUUAUUGUUGUAGAGUUGCACUGGGUCAGAGGCUUAUUGAGGCUUCUUCCAUUCAAUCCACAGAGAUCUUCCCUACUCAGAUGUAAAGGGAGGUUAAUACACGGUGCUGUGGCUGAGGUUAAUAAACGGUGCUGUGGCUGAGGUUAAUAAACGGUGCUGUGGCUGAGGUUAAUACACGGUGCUGUGGCUGAGGUUAAUAAACGGUGCUGUGGCUGAGGUUAAUACACGGUGCUGUGGCUGAGGUUAAUACACGGUGCUGUGGCUGAGGUUAAUACACGGUGCUGUGGCUGAGGUUUGUUUACCCUCGUGUGUGUGUGUGUGUG